GUCGCGGCAGGUUCGGCAGCGGAGCAGGUCUCGGCAGGGUUCGGCGACGGAGUAUGUCGUGGCAGGGUUCUUCGGCGGAGUAGGUCUCGGCGGGCUUCGGCGACGGAGGCGAUGGCAGGCUCGAGCUCCAGUAGGAGCACAACACGGUCGGUGACGGAAAUAUCCAGGCAAGGGACAACGCCGUAUUUGAAGCAGGUUUUGAAUGAUUUAGUCAGCACUGUUCGUGAAGUGAAGACAGAGAACUCUGAAAUUAGAGCAUCCCUUGCCAACUCAAGAGCUGUGAUUGAUGGACUUGUCACUGAACACAAUGUCUAUGAAGCAAAGAGCAUGGGACAAAAAGAGGAAUGUGGCUCAUUUGCUGAAAUGGCAUGUAGAAUCAAGAUGUUAGAAGAGAGUAGACGAUUUAUGUUGUUAGUUAUUGUUGGUUUUGUAGUAGUCAUAUUUGCACUAUUGCUUCUUAGGUAG
rnacentral:lncRNA from 1 species